rnacentral:lncRNA from 1 species
UGCUCUUGGACAAUACGGACUGUUGCAAGAAAUGUAAACACGUUGCUAGUAUCUAGAGGAAUUCCCAUCAGAUAGCAUGCCCAGAAAGUUACUACUGUAAUUACGAGAGGGUAUGACCAAAAGAGUGCUAGGUAAUAGCCUCUUUGUGUCAGAAUUGCGGACAACCACCUUUCUUCUUCUUUCCUCAAACCUUCUACAACAUGUCUAAAGUGCGUCUCCCAACCAUACAACUUCAGUACUUUCAUGUUAGUCACUGCCUCCGUAAUGGCCUUGAGCCUUAUGUCUUGUGCUACCAUGAGUUUUGUCAGGUACCUGUGUUGCAGUUUAACCAUUGGAGUAUUUACCACUAUUAUUAGAAUCACUGCUAGUAGGGCUGCAAUUGUCGCUUUGCCUACAGUAUAGUAAAUGACAAGAAGUGCAAGACAUAAUUGCAGACUCGUUGCCCAUAUCCGAUGAAAAAAACAUGGAAAUUCACCAAUUCUAUAAGCAUCUACUGUGACAUAAUUCAGAAUCUGGCCCCCAGAAUGAAUUGCUUUAGCAGCAGUUGAUAGUCUGAGUUGCUUCUGGUAAAUUGCUGCAGAGAGCGUAGAUCUUACUUGGACUCCAAUCAGUCUUGUUUGAAAGUUCCAUUGUCUUUCCGAAAGUGAUUCCAUACCUUUGGCCAAAAAUAAGCCUGCGGCUAGUGCAUAGCCCUCGUAUUUAAAAGACUCCUUGCCUUGAGCAACCUGAAUGAAAGCUUUAAGUAGCAGAGGACCAGAAGCAAGUGCAAUUACCUUGAUCAAUGCAAAAAGACCGGACACUAAGAUCGCUUUAAGCUGCCAGAUAAAUAUAGUUGAUAAAAUUGGAAGAGAGCCAGAGGUUCCUUUUUUUGUCUGUGCUGUCAGUUGCUCCAUAAACUUGGAGUAACACGUCUCUGCACGAUCUUCAUGCUUUAAUUUCGGAAGAUCAAUGUCCUCCAAAACUUUAAUUUUACCCUUCUUCAGUAGCGGGUUCAACCACCAGAAGGACAUUAUACUCAGAAUUCCUGCAUUACUGAAAGGAGUAACAUUUUCAACCUCGUUGAUUUUUAUGUCAUCGCCAGCCUCUUCACCUUGCGAACGUACAGAGGGUGUCUUCUUCAAUUCUUGUUUCCAUUUCUGCAUAUUUAAAAUUCCACAAAAACACGUAAGGAAAAUAUAUAUAAUUGCUCCUGGUCAAGUUAAGAAGAGGGCUGACAGAGGCUUGAAACCCUAAGAUAACACCGCUAGCCACUGAUGCCAACAAUCUGGACUAGGUACUCCCAAGAGUAAGAGAUUGUUUUCAUUAAGACCACGGUUUUUAAAAAAUUAAUCUUUGAAAUGUCAUAAAUUAAGAAAAUUAUCCCACUAAAGAAAACUAUCAUAUUUCUUACACAAGCUUGUACAAGUCAGUAAAUUUCAACUUACAAAUACAAAACCAUGAUUAACAUUCUGAAAAUGCUAGAUACCCAAAAAUUGUUCCGAAAUCUAGUUAGACAAUAUAUGAUUGGUUCCACCACACUAAUAAUAAUAAUAAUAAUAAUGGGAUCUUUAUACGCACAUAAUCUGUCCAAUUAAAAUCAACCAUUUGUCGGUUACAUCAUUUAAGGAAAAAAAAAUUAUGAACAACAUUUGUGAUAAGUAACAUUACUCCUAACAUUCAACCAGGAGCAAAAAACCAUCAUGCAUACAAGAACACUAGCGCCUUCUGUUUUUCAAUAAUGACACACUCACGCACCCGUCUUGUCGUUAUCUGUCUAUGUUAUGAACCCACAAGUGAAUGAGUAAAGAACACACACCUUCUACGAUCGACUUGAAGCAAAUGCAGAUAUCAUAUAGAGGAAGAACGGAAGAUUCUUGAGAGUCGAAGUAUGAUUAAGCAGAUUCUCCAACGACAAGGAUUUAAUAUGUAAUGUAUUAACCAUUACAGUGAAUUAUUACUAUAACUAGAAAAUGGAGAAAAUGCCCCAUAUGCGAAUCAUUACAUGUGAAACGAUUUCAAUUUUAAAACAAACUUAAAAUCGCCAAUAAUGCAAUUUAAUAUGUUGAUGAACGUCUAAUUAUAAUGGUCAUUUCCAUUAUUGGAGCAAUUUAAUCUGAUGUAUGACCUUGCACAGGGCGGAACUAGGGCUGAGCAUUCGGUCGGUUCGGUCCAGAACCGGACCGGACCGAACGGACCGAGAACCGAACUUUGAAAAUUUUCUGGACCGGACCGGACCGAAGUUUGCAUAUGGACCGAACCGGGACCGAACCGAAAUAAUUCGGUCGGUCCGGUCCGGUCCGCCAGAACCGAAUUAAAAAAAAAAUUAAUCUGUAUUUACAAAAAAAAUCAGCAAGCAUGAUAAAAGAGAAAAAAGAUAGUACCACCAAUCCACAUCCACCACAGAUAAUCUAGAGAGCUAACAUUCAAAGCACAACUCCAAAAUAGUCAUAAGUUUAUAAAUUUUAAAAACCACCACAGUAGUCUCAAGUCUGCUAGUUCAAAAAUAAAAUAAAUAGUCUGCUACUACUAGUCUUCAACUCUUCAUCAUUUUGUUUGUCCGCUGAUGCUCUGCUGCUCAUGUUCAUGGAACUAACUCAUGCUGUCAUGCUCGAUUAGGUAUGCGUAUGCUCGAUUAGAUUAGGUAUAGAGAGUCUCGACGGUGAAUAUAGUCUAUAGAUAUUAGAUAGUAUAAUUAUAAUAUGGUAUUUAAAAUAUAAAAUAAAAUUAUUAUUUAUAUUAUAUAUAAAAGUUCGGUCCAUUCGGUCCAGGACCGAAAUUUUUCGAUGGGGACCGGACCGGACCGUAUUUUAUUUCGGUCCGGACCGAAAUACCCGAACGGACCGAAUUUUCAGAAAAUUAGGACCGAACCGGACCGAAAUUAUUCGGUCCGGUCCGGUUUUUCGGUUUCGGUUCGGUUCUGCUCAGCCCUAGGCGGAACCAAGGGGGGGCUAGCCCCAGCGCCAGCCCCGGCUGAGAAAAAAAUUAAUAAGUAAAAUAUAUAUAUAUUCAACUUUUUAGCCCGGGGGCAAAUUUAAAAAUGAUUAUAUAUAUAAAAAAUUAGCUCAAAUUGAAAUUACAUUUCUCUGAAAUGGACUAGGUUUUGUUAACAAAUCAGCUGGAUAAUUUCAUUUAUGAUGUGCAAAAUGAUAAUAGUUUCUCUGAGUUUCAAAAUAUUGCAGAGCUUGCUAUUAAGAUGGUCGGAACACAUAGAAGUACAACUUAUCCUUUGGUUUACCGUCUCACUGGGCUAGCUUUGAUUUUAACUGUCGCAACAACUACUGUUGAAAGAGUGUUUUCUGCAAUGAAAAUACUUAAGACUUAUUUGCGUAACAGGAUGGGGAUGAGUGGUUGAACGAUAGCAUGCUGGUUUACAUCGAGAAGGUCAUAUUUAGAGACAUAAACGACGAAAUUAUCUUACAAGGCUAUCAAAUUAUGCAAAAUCGUAGAGUUCAAUUGUAGUUUAGCCCGGGGUCAAAAUUAAUCCUGGUUCCGCCACUGACCUUGCAGCAGCAUGAGCAUCUAUAGUGAUAGUUAAUUUAAUCUGAUGUGUCUUGAGGUCUGAAGAAAUAUUUCUCUACAGAGUUGGUAAAACAUAUACUACCACGUUCUUUUAAUUUUGGCACAUUCCUAAGACUUUUACAUUAUAAUUAAAAUUAUUAUUUUUAUAAUUUUUUAUUUAAAUUAUAUCAAUCAUAUAAUUUUAUUCCGAAAUUUAUCUUUCCAAAAAUAAUGAGUUUAAUUCUAUGAUUAAACGACUAAAAAAAUACAUGUCAACAAGGAAAGCGACUAUAUUUUAAAUCAACCGAAAUAAUUCACACGAUACGAAAUAUUAUAAUAAUAACAUAAUGUUCUUUUGAAAAGAAAUAUGACACAUUUUUUAUUCUUUAUUAUUCAAUCAACAAUUUUUUUAAUAAGACAACUGAGUGUGUUUGCCCGGAUUUUAUAUUUGAAUUUUAAGCUAUUUUAGACUCUAAACUGUAUGUCUGCGUGAUAAGUAAGAGUUAAAUUUAGAAGUCGGUAGGAUGUACUUUUUUAAUCAUUUUAUAUUAUUUUAAUGUUUUUUAUAAAAAUCAAUUUCAACCCUAGAAUAAACUAUCAAAUUUUUUUAAUAACUCAUAAGUCAUUUAAAAUAUAAAUUAUCCAAACAGACAACCUAAACUAAGCACUUAUCACAAUAAGGAGCUGCAUGGCUUAUUUUAUUUAUAAAUGAAAAAUAAUUUUUAAUUUAUCUAUUUGGAUAUAUUUUUUGAUUUUUACGGCUUAUUGAGUAUAAUAAUUAUUAACAUAAUAACAAAAUAUUAUAAAUUAUUUUUAGAAUGGUCCUUUACAUUUUUCUAAAAUCAAAUUUCAAAAUACAAAUAAGUUAGUCUCGACUUGAUAUGACUUAUAAGCUGGGAGUUGACUUAUAUAUUAUUUACAUAAAUGGAAUGAAAAAUUGUUGAAUGGUUCCCACGGAUAUAAUUCUAAAUUAAUAAUAAAUUUUAAUCAAUAAAAAUAUACUUUAAUGUGUUCAUUAUAAUAAAUAAAAUUAUAUGAUAUCAACCUUUUUCUUUUCUUACAAAAUUGGUAGAAUAAUUACGAAGUUUGUAAUUUAUAAUAAAAUAAUACAAAAACUUACGAAUACACAAUAACGAUUUCAAACUAUAAAAUUCAGAAAAAUAAUAAAGAGAUUUCAUGAUAUUUAUAAUAAAUUACUUAUUACGACUAAUAUAAAUUUUUGUGAUUCAUGAAGUUUCAUAGUAUAUAUUCAUGUACUAAUUGUAUUGUACAAUUAAAACAAAAUCAUAAUAAUUAAAUAAUUAAAAGAUAUAUAAUAUAAUGUAAAAUAAGUAUAAUAUUGUAAUAAUUAAAAAGAGUAACAAAAGUAAAGAUCAAAAUAUUUGAACCAUUCGGACACAGUUUAAAGGCAGGGUGGUUCAGAGGAAAAUUUGUGUAUUUUAAGUUUUUAACUACCGAUUCAACUAGUGUCAUUAGUGAAUAAAAAACAAAUGACUCCUGAGUCAUUCUAAAUUAUACUGUACAAGUCACCCCUAAAUUAUUACUCUCGUCCCUUCCAUUUCUUUACAUUUGUGUCCCACCCAAUUGUUUACAUUUCAAAACUUACCAAAAAUAGUCUAUGGGUCCCGCCACUUCUCCACUUUUCUUUCCAUUUCACACUAUUUUUACUCCACUAUCUUCUUUUUAUACACAAAAAAUCAAUAGGUCCCACUACUUCAUCCAUUUUUCUUUCUCUUUUCUCUCUACUUUAUACAUAAUUCUUAACUUCCGUGUCCAACUCAUUUGAUAAUAAACUAGUUGAGAAACCGCGCGUUGCGGCGGCCUAUAAAAAUUAUAUUAAUGAUUCUUAUAUUAUAAAAAUCUUGAUGUAAUACCAAUACUAAUAUAUAAAAUUGCGAAAUUGGACUAUAAUUCAUGGUGAAAAAUUGAAAAUAAAUUUGUACACGUAAUUAACAAUUUAAAGCAUAAUGAAUCUUAAUUUUAUUUGUUUUUUUUAAAAAUAAUCAUGUUCUUACAUUGUCACCUUCCUCCAAUUUUUUUGGAUUGAUUGUGCAUAAAAACAUCUAACUUAAUUAAAUCUGCGAGAUAGCAGUCUAUAACUACCCUCUUAAAAGUUGCUUGAACGGAGCAAACAGAUAAUGCAUGAAUAAUAUUUUCAUGUAUACAAAGUAAAUCAUAUAAAAAUUAACAACAACAAACAUGUCCGAUGAACAAAACAAAUAUUAUAAAAGAAUAACCAACAAACAUACAUCACUAAUAGUUAAUUUAUUAAUAUCAACCAUCAAUAUCAUGUCAAGACUACAUUCUUUUCUCGUGUUUGGAUUUGUCGACUCCAAUAUAACGGUCUAUAACUACCUUUGCUUGCUACAACUUUUAUUUUUUUAAUACUGUAUAAACAACCUUCACUCAUCGUUGAAGAAGAACGGCACCUCCGAGUUAGAAAUCGAGCAAGAGAACUAUCACCAGAGAGAGGUAGGGUUAUGGUAUUGAGAGAGAGGAGGUUGUGUUUAGAUGAUCUAAAACCCUACAAUCUAUAGGGGUAUUUAUAGGUGCAGAAAGACUUGUGUGCUACUCUUUCCUAUAAUUAAAUAAUUUGAAACAAAAUCAGAUUAAAACUUUCAAGCUAUUAUAUUCCAUAAAUAAUCUGUUUUUCCCAUAAUUAAAUAAUCUGAAACAAAUUCAGAUUAAAACUUUUAAGCUACUAUAUUCCAUAAAUAAUUUAAAACAAAAUUAGAUUUUGAAACGUGCUUCUAAUAUACCCGAAACUAAAGAAGGUAGUUCUAAUUUUUAAUAUUUUUCAUCCAAAAAAUCCAGAAAAUUAGAAAAAUAGAACGGAGCGAUGUGAGAGGCGCCACCUACAUGCCCCUCACUUCUCCUUUAUAUAGGUAAUCGAGCAAUAGAACUAUCACCAGAGAGAGUUAGGGUUGUGGUAUUGAGAAAGAGGAGGUUGUGUUUAGAUGAUCUAAAACCCUACAAUCUAUAGGGGUAUUUAUAGGUGCAGAGAGACUUGUGUGCUACUCUUUCCUAUAAUUAAAUAAUUUGAAACAAAAUCAGAUUAAAACUUUCAAGCUAUUAUAUUCCAUAAAUAAUCUGUUUUUCCCAUAAUUAAAUAAUCUGAAACAAAUUCAGAUUAAAACUUUUAAGCUACUAUAUUCCAUAAAUAAUUUAAAACAAAAUUAGAUUUUGAAACGUGCUUCUAAUAUACCCGAAACUAAAGAAGGUAAUUCUAAUUUUUAAUAUUUUUCAUCCAAAAAAUCCUGAAAAUUAGAAAAAUAGAAUGGAGCGAUGUGAGAGGCGCCACCUACACGCCCCUCGCUUCUCCUUUAUAUAAGUAUAUUGAUCGGAGGGAGGGAGGGAGUAGAAGUUACUACUACUCGUAUAAUUUUAUAAGUCGGCUUAAACGAAUCGAAAAAUAUCAACUUGAUCCCCCUUUGUAUGUUUUAUGAAAAUAAUAUCUUUUACAAUGACGUCAGUCAUGUGACAAAAUUAACCAGCCGAUGCGAUCCAAUUGAACAAUUUAUAAUGUUGGUUGAUGUCGCCUGAAUAAGACCAAUAUUCCUUAGUUAACUUCCUGAACAGCGAACCUUCCCUACUUAACAGUUUAUUAGGCUCAUCGUAUACUCCACCAACUCUCAUGCAUUUUUUUUAAAAAAAUUAUAAACAAAGAACUCUUUGUUCGAGAUAUAAAUUUUAAAUUACUUUGCAUAUAUUGAGUUGAAAUGAACGAAAUUCAUGUCUCAAUCCAUGUAACUUUGUACCGAAGGAGAAAUCAGAAAUUCUCAGGCUCUUUUCGCAGUAGCUUCUUAUGCAAAUUUCUUGUAAUAUCACUAAUUUUAAGGAAAAUAAUAUAUUUAGCAUAAUGUAAUAUAUAUCAAAGUAACGUUUUAUAAAUACAUGGCCAAUAAUGUCAGCAAUACGCUAUUAUAGAAUGAUAAUAACAUAAAUUGUCCUUGCCCGAAUGGAUAUCAAGCUAACCCGAAUUUAAAAGAAAUUCAUCAUCCGAUCGGAUUUUAUGAAAGCGUUUUUAUGAGAAAGGAAAAAACCCUAGCUAAUUGCCCGAGACGAAGUUAUACACUCAAAAGUAAAAUGACAACCCUAAUUAAAGGUUUUAGCAGAGCAAAAAGAAAGAGCAUGGGUAAGCAAAUCCUUGUUUUAUCUUCAGGUGUGCCUAUUGCUCAAUGCUCUGCAUUUGCUUGUGUUGUGUAUGUAUGCAUGCAUGGAAUUUGGUGGCAAUAUACCGGUUGUCUAGAUUGAGUUCGGUUAACAAGAGAAUGGGAACCUCGUGUUGGUGUUUUCACAAGAGGUUUAAGGGUCUGUUUGGGAGUGCUGUUAAAAAUUAUUGUGCUGUCAGAAAAAGUGCUGAUAAAAAAUGUGCUGUUGUAAAAAUCAGAUAACUGUUUGGUAAUUCUUUUUGAUAUUUGUUUAUUUUUAGUUAUAAUAUAAAAUAAUAAUGUUUUUGAUGAGGUUUGAUAAUAAAAUCUAUAACAGCUUUCUACAAAAACUAAAAAGCAGCUUUUUCCAAAAGCAUGGGGACCUGUUUUUUCUAAAAACAACUUUUCAGCUAAAAGUUGUUAUCGGAAAAGUUACUUUUAGAUUUACCAAACAGUUUUGCAGCUGUUUUUCAGCGAAAAGCUAAUCUUGUUAUCGGCAACAGCAACGCCAAAAAGUACUAAAUAAGCAAAUUAUUAUAUGGAAUGGGAAUCUUAUUCCAAUUUUGGGGUAACCAAACCUAAUAGCCUCCAUUCCCAUGCCCCACUUUCCCAUUCCCCCCACAAUCCAAAUGCCCCGUACAGCCGUACUAUAUGUUAUGCAUGCAAGUAUUCUCUGAGCCAUAGCUCUGGUUAUCACUCUACAACCCUGAAAUUCUUUAAAUUGUUUGAUGUUGUUUGUGGGCACCAGAAUAAGACCAGUAUUCCUCAACUAGCUUCCUGAACAGCGAGCCAUCCCGAUUCAACAAUUUAUUGGGCUCAUCAUACUCCACCAUCUCUCCUGCAUUUUCCAAAACAAAAAAUCACUAUAACAAAUAUUUUCAUGACUAACACUUACAUACUGAUGUAUGUGCUUAAAAAGUUACCAUUUCUCAUGGAAAGCACCAUUGUGCAGUCAAUCACAGUUGGUAUUCUGUGAGCCACUGUUAUCACGGUGCAGCCUGCAAAUUCCAUCCUUAUGGUUUUCUGUAUUAUAGUGUCUGUUGCAUUGUCAAUUGAUGCUGUUGCUUCAUCAAGAACUAGGAUCUUCCUCCUCUUUAAUAAUGCCCGUCCCAGGCAAAAUAACUGACAUUGUCCCAGGCUCCAAUUUGAUCCGUCCUCCACAACUGCCAUUCAUCUUUAUGUUAGUAACAAACACAGAGGUAUGUAUAUUCUUUACUUAGCUUUUUACAGAACUGUUUUCUUACCCAAGGAGUUCAGCCCUUCUUCUUUCUCUUGAACAGCCUCUCGGAGGUGACAUUUCUCAAGAACCUUCCUCGCAUUACAUAGUUACACACAAAGUAGUGUCAUUUUUUUUAUAGGAAAUGAAAACAAAGAUUGGACUCCGAAUGAGCAACUGGAUAAUAGUUUACCUGCCAAAUUUCACUAUCAGUAUGCUCAAAGAGGGGGUCUAUGUUAUAUCUGACGGAACCACUGAAAAGUGUUGGAUCUUGUGGGAUGAUGCUAAGCUGUGUUCUGAGGUCAUGAAGCCCAAUUUUAGAGAUAUCUAUGUCAUCUAUUAUUAUCUUUCCAGCCGUAGGUUCUACAAGGCGAAACAAGGCACUUAUCAAAGUUGUCUUCCCACUACCAGUCCUGCCAACAAUUCCAAUUCUAUGUCCUCCUUCAAAGAUGCAACUGAUUCCACGCAAAACUAGAGGCGCAUUUUGUCGGUAUUUUACCUGCUUAAUUCAGACUUUUCAUUAUGUACCAGUAUCUACAAACAUAAAUUUAUGAACAAAAUAAACCACAAAAGAGACACUGAUACCUUUAGAUUGUUGAUUUCUACUCUCCCAGAAACUGGCCAGUUAAGUGGAGGACGGUUAUCUUCUAGUUUUUCGGGGGCCUCACUAGGAAUGUGCAUGCACUGUUCUAGCCUCUCCACGGAAAUGAUGAAAUUUGACAGCAUGCAGUGCAUAUUUAUAGCAUAUACAAGGAAUUCAUUCAUUGAAAGGGCGUAUGAUAGAGCCAUCCCGACAUAUCCUGUAAUUUAUAAGUAAGUGAUAGACGCACUUAGCUCUGUUUUAGUCCUCGGAUGACAAUAAAACUGAACAAGACACUUUCAAGCUCACAAAUGGAGCUGCACCAACAUGAAAAAAAAUUUGUGCAAUAUAAAAGAAGAUACCUAACCUGAUUUAGAAGCUCCAAGAGGCAUCAAAGUCAUGCCAAGUGCAGAGAAUGAGACGAUAACUGCACAUAAUCCUUCCAGAUGUAGUAUCAACCACUCAUUUGCUGAAAAACUGUGGAAGUAUGGAAUUGAGUUUGCAUCAAUAAGACGGAAGUUUUCAGAAAUAAACCUAUUUUCUUCUUUAAAGGCUCUGAUGGUCACCGCUCCAGCAAUUGACUCGGCAAGCUGGCUUGCAACUGAAGACUUUGUCGUGCCAUUAAUACGCAUCAACUCAUUAGCCGAAGCUAAGUAGAAUUUCUGCAAGUUCAGUUACAAGAAUCUUGAGUUCUUUCUAAAAGAGUAUUUUACAUUUCUUAGCAGUGUUGUAAAAUUACCUGUAAAACUAUGGUAAUAUAAACUGUGGGAAUGAUGAGAAAUAAGAUAGGCCAGGUGAGUACAGCCAAUAUUCCAAAGCUGAGACACGUGUUCAAUGCUGAUCCGAUUGCAGUUGCAAAUUUUAUUGCCACUUCAAGGUCUAUGAUACUCAGAUCAGAAGAUAACUAUUGAAAGUAUUAAAUAUGUAAGUCAUAUGAUGAUCGUAUUAUCACGACUGUAAUGUAAAUUUGGCUAAUUUAGAUAUCCUUACCCGGCUCAGUAUCCUUCCAACAGGUGUCGAAUCAAAGUAGGACAUAGGUGCUCGAAAGAUUGACACUACUGCCUUGGAAAAAAUAGAUUCCGACGCCUUAGUACUUAAUUCAACUACUACAUAAGAUCUUAUAAGUAGGCACACUGACAUUACACACCCAAUCCCAGUGUAUACUGCAUUUAGUAUGACAAUGCUUAUAGCGGGAUUUUGAAGUUCAGCAGCCAACCAAACACCUUGACCUAAUUGACCAACUAUGAAUAACAUAUGGAAUAUGACUGAUAGUGAAAGGUAUAAGAAUCCCUGGUUUUGCUUUAAGUAUUGUUUGUAAGGUUUUAGACCGCGGUCUCCGGUCUCUUUCUGCUCUUUUUCAAUCAACUGGUCUCCCAGCCCUUUGUGAAGCUCUUCUUCAACAUCAAUUUCUUGUAUCUCUUGGUUGGAAACUGUAGGACUUUGUGGAGAACUAUAACUCAUUCGUCCUUCCGGAUUGGUAGCAUCACUUUUCACAAUCAAAAGAUUUUGAAAAUCUGGACUAUGAACUAACUGCUGGUACUUAUCAGCUUGCAGGAUUUUCCCUUCAGACAUUAGCUGCCAAAAACAAUUGCUUCUUAUUUUCUGAAUAUGUAUCACUAUUAAAUGGAUUCGAAAAAUGAAAGACAUUAAUAAUCCCUCAUUCUUCUCUACUGUAAAAGGGAAAACAAUAUCUCAUGUUUUGAUUAAAAUUACUAACCAGAAUAAUAUCAAAAACAGGGAGGAAGUCAACUUGGUGGGUGACAAGCAUAACCGUUUUUUCUGAUAAUGCUCCCAUGACAUACUCCUGCAAAAAUCAAAAUUUGUCCAUAAAACAAAGGAAAAUCUUUGAAAUGGAACUGAAAUUAGCUUAAAACAUAGGUCACAUUAAAUAAGCUGGUUGCAGUAUGUGCAUCCACAGCGCUAAAUGGAUCAUCAAGAAGGUAUAUAUCUGCAUCUUGAUAUAGUGCACGAGCAAGUUGAACCCGCUGUUUCUGCCCACCGCUGAGGUUAACACCUCUUUCCCCUAUUACUGUCUGAUCACCACAUGGAAGAAUUUGCAGGUCCUGUACAAGUGAACAUCUUUUUAGUACUUUAUGGUACUUUUCUUGAUCCAUAGAUGACCCGAAGAGUAUAUUCUCUUGUAUAGUGCCUGUUUGGAUCCAUGCUGUCUGAGCAACAUAAGCUACCUUUCCAUCCACCUGGACCUAUAAAAUUCAGAAGUACUCAUUUCAGUUGAACCGGUGAGAAAACACAUUGCAAAGCUGCAUGUUUAUAAAUUGAGAUUUAUAUGUUAGUCAAAUUCUGCAGGAACAUCUUUGAGAAUGUGUGUUACUUCUGAUUUAUAUUAUAAUUUUAAUAUUUAGGAGGAGAAAUCAUUUGUGACUCACCGUGCCCUUAGUGCAUGAAACUUCUCCAAGAAUUGCAGCUAAAAGGGUUGAUUUACCUGAGCCAACUUCUCCGCAAAUUGCAACCUUCUCGCCAGAUUGUAUAUUCAAAUUUAUAUUCUCCAGAGUGAGCUUUGAGGAAUUGAUAUCCCAUGAUAAACUUGCUUCUUUAAUUAAUAUAGACUGUGCAAUUACCUUGCAAUGACCUUCACUUCUUUUUUGCAAUUCAGAUUCCUCAAGGAACUGCUGGAUACGAGUUAAUGCAACCUUUGCUUCAAUGAAACUUCCUACAACAUCAGGUAAAAGCCUAAUAUGCUCUUGGACAAUACGGAUUGUUGCAAGAAAUGUAAACACGUUGCUAGUAUCUAGAGGAACUCCCAUCAGAUAGCAUGCCCAGAAAGUUACUACUGUAAUUACGAGAGGGGAUGACCAAAAGAGUGCUAGGUAAUAGCCUCUUUGUGUCAGAAUUGCGGACAACCACCUUUCUUCUUCUUUCCUCAAUCCUUCUACAACAUGUCUAAAGUGGGUCUCCCAACCAUACAACUUCAGUACUUUCAUGUUUGUCACUGCCUCCGUGAUGGCCUUGAGCC